rnacentral:lncRNA from 1 species
CCACAGACCCUUGCUUUUAAUACUCUCCUCCAAGUCAUUGUUUGCACCUUGCCUGAAGGUUACUGGCUAGACAUAUGUCUUAACUGCAUGCUUACAGAACAAAUUUUUCCCCUCCUACUGUGCAGGAUGGCCAAGAGCAGAGCUCUGAAGCAGGUAGCUGGGUAGAACAUAUCAUUGUCUACAAUUUUGGGGAUCAGCUUUCUUGAGCGCAAUGCUGUGCUUACCUUGCAGGGGAUGACAGGAACUGGUAUUCCUGGCACUGUUGGCCCAAAGGGAGAAGAAGGAAAGCAGGGGGUGAUGGGACCUCCAGGAGCAGCAGGACCUAAGGGUGACAAAGGGCAAGGUGGUGUUAAAGGGGAGAAGGUGAGACUGGCCAGCACUGGAGCACAGAGUAGGAUGGGAAGAAGUGCUGGCUCUGGUUUUGGGCUCAGGACACAGCAGUUGAGGUAUCUGGUUGGAGAUGCAGAGGGAGGGAAUUUGAGGCCCCACCAAAGGCUUCUCCCAGUCUGACCAGACAUAACUGGGCCACGUAGCUCCACGCCACAUAACUGCAAGGUUCAGGAGCUUGCUGCUGCUGAAGGAUCAACCAUGCAUGGGGAGACCUUGCAGCAAUGGUAAAUCCCCAGGAGAGUCUGUGGCUAGCGAGCACUGACAAACAAACCUUGAAUACCCUUUGCCACUCCGUACUGAGUAUUCACAGGUUUGCUUUUAUUGAGCUAUAUUUCAGGUUUGCUGUUUUUACAGCUCCCCCAGCUGCACUUGUUCUGUACAUGCAUCUGAUUAUAGCUUCAAAGAUCAAAA